ACGGAAUCAUGAAAAUUAUUCUUUGAAAUGGCAAAGAUUUCUGUGGCUGGAUCAUGGGAUUUAUUGAGUGGAGCGAUUUCUCCUCAGAAGACCAGACACAUGUGAGCUAUGCGAAUCCACAGAAGUAUUGUUAUCUUUCUAUUUUUUCCUCGCUUAUAUGAAGGACUAUAGGUCAGGAACUGUGCAAGAGGAGGAAUGUGCAUAUGUUGGGGUGGGGAUAGAUAGGGAAGGUCUGGAAUGGAUAAUUCAUUUCAAACUCAAAAAAGCAGACUGAGAGAAGACAUAGGGAGAACUGACAGAGAAACCAUAAAGCUGGAAAAAGAUUAGAGAAAACCACAAGAAGACCUGUUUAACCCUAAUUUCUGUGUUUUUUCUGAUGAAGAUGUAGUAUUAAUUGUUUCAGAGUUCAUCAGAGAUCCACGUAUAUUAAAUCUGAGAUAUAAGCCAGUUGAAAACAAACAUUCCACUUGAGUGGCCUUUUAAUGACACAAAGGCUAAAGGGAAAAAAAAAAAAAGAUUUGCAUAGCAAUAACUGUCAUUGCUUUAAAGCUGCAUAGACUUUUCAGAGCCCUGAACAACCACCAAAUCAGGAAUUCAAACCGCACCCUGGGAAGGCUGGGCUUCUUUUUGUUAAAAAGAAAAACCAAAGAUCUCUGAGAAGCUUCUUAUGUCUCUUCCCUGACAUUUCACAAAAUAGAGAAAAAGGAAAGGAAAAAAAUAUCCCUGAGGAAAGGCUAAGUGUAAAGAAGAAUUUGAUUUUGGCAUUGCUUUGAGAGGUUCCACUUACUUCCUCAACCCAUGGAAUGCUUAUUGUUGAACCAACACCGUAAGAAAGACACAGCUUCAGCUUCAAUAAG
rnacentral:lncRNA from 1 species